rnacentral:tRNA from 1 species
AGUAAAAUGCCCGAAAAUAAGGUUUAUCGUGAUAGGGUAAAAAAUGUAAUUUUAUUACUUUUACUA